CUCUGGGACCUUCCCUCCCCAGGACUGCAGCCUGCUAGGGAAGAGAAGGAGGAAGCGGUGACUCAAAGGGGAAAUGGCAUGAAGCUUUUCUGGGGUCAGACGUAAUCAGAACAAUGUCAUCUGCAAACAGGAGUGUCUGAAGGACCUUACCAUGCACAGCAAAUCCAAUCUAUCUUCAACCUAGAUUUGGUCACGGAUCUUCUCCAUUGCAAUGGGACAUCAUUCUGUGAGAUGGAAUAAAAAGGAAAGUGGGAUUCAUCCCAGUGGCGAUCUUGCAUGCCAAGCAGCCUUAAGCAGACUUGAUGAAG